UAACACAUGCAAGUCGAACGGUAGCACAGAGGAGCUUGCUCCUUGGGUGACGAGUGGCGGACGGGUGAGUAAUGUCUGGGAAACUGCCCGAUGGAGGGGGAUAACUACUGGAAACGGUAGCUAAUACCGCAUAACGUCGCAAGACCAAAGAGGGGGACCUUCGGGCCUCUUGCCAUCGGAUGUGCCCAGAUGGGAUUAGCUAGUAGGUGGGGUAACGGCUCACCUAGGCGACGAUCCCUAGCUGGUCUGAGAGGAUGACCAGCCACACUGGAACUGAGACACGGUCCAGACUCCUACGGGAGGCAGCAGUGGGGAAUAUUGCACAAUGGGCGCAAGCCUGAUGCAGCCAUGCCGCGUGUAUGAAGAAGGCCUUCGGGUUGUAAAGUACUUUCAGCGAGGAGGAAGGCGUUGUGGUUAAUAACCGCAGCGAUUGACGUUACUCGCAGAAGAAGCACCGGCUAACUCCGUGCCAGAAGCCGCGGUAAUACGGAGGGUGCAAGCGUUAAUCGGAAUUACUGGGCGUAAAGCGCACGCAGGCGGUCUGUCAAGUCGGAUGUGAAAUCCCCGGGCUCAACCUGGGAACUGCAUCCGAAACUGGCAGGCUAGAGUCUUGUAGAGGGGGGUAGAAUUCCAGGUGUAGCGGUGAAAUGCGUAGAGAUCUGGAGGAAUACCGGUGGCGAAGGCGGCCCCCUGGACAAAGACUGACGCUCAGGUGCGAAAGCGUGGGGAGUAAACAGGAUUAGAUACCCUGGUAGUCCCCGCCGUAAACGAUGUCGACUUGGAGGUUGUGCCCUUGAGGCGUGGCUUCCGGAGCUAACGCGUUAAGUCGACCGCCUGGGGAGUACGGCCGCAAGGUUAAAACUCAAAUGAAUUGACGGGGGCCCGCACAAGCGGUGGAGCAUGUGGUUUAAUUCGAUGCAACGCGAAGAACCUUACCUACUCUUGACAUCCAGAGAACUUAGCAGAGAUGCUUUGGUGCCUUCGGGAACUCUGAGACAGGUGCUGCAUGGCUGUCGUCAGCUGUGUUGUGAAAUGUUGGGUUAAGUCCCGCAACGAGCGCAACCCUUAUCCUUUGUUGCCAGCGGUUAGGCCGGGAACUCAAAGGAGACUGCCAGUGAUAAACUGGAGGAAGGUGGGGAUGACGUCAAGUCAUCAUGGCCCUUACGAGUAGGGCUACACACGUGCUACAAUGGCAUAUACAAAGAGAAGCGACCUCGCGAGAGCAAGCGGACCUCAUAAAGUAUGUCGUAGUCCGGAUUGGAGUCUGCAACUCGACUCCAUGAAGUCGGAAUCGCUAGUAAUCGUGGAUCAGAAUGCCACGGUGAAUACGUUCCCGGGCCUUGUACACACCGCCCGUCACACCAUGGGAGUGGGUUGCAAAAGAAGUAGGUAGCUUAACCUUCGGGAGGGCGCUUACCACUUUGUGAUUCAUGACUGGGGUG
rnacentral:rRNA from 1 species